ACUCAAAGGAAUAGACGGGGGCCCGCACAAGCGGCGGAGCAUGCGGAUUAAUUCGAUGCAACGCGAAGAACCUUACCAAGGCUUGACAUGAACCGGACCGCCGCAGAAAUGUGGUUUCCCCUUUGGGGCUGGUUUACAGGUGGUGCAUGGUUGUCGUCAGCUCGUGUCGUGAGAUGUUGGGUUAAGUCCCGCAACGAGCGCAACCCUCGUUCUAUGUUGCCAGCACGUGAUGGUGGGGACUCAUAGGAGACUGCCGGGGUCAACUCGGAGGAAGGUGGGGACGACGUCAAAUCAUCAUGCCCCUUAUGUCUUGGGCUUCACGCAUGCUACAAUGGCCGGUACAAAGGGUUGCGAUACUGUGAGGUGGAGCUAAUCCCAAAAAGCCGGUCUCAGUUCGGAUUGGGGUCUGCAACUCGACCCCAUGAAGUCGGAGUCGCUAGUAAUCGCAGAUCAGCAACGCUGCGGUGAAUACGUUCCCGGGCCUUGCACACACCGCCCGU
rnacentral:rRNA from 1 species